GUUGCAGCCGGCUGCUUUAGCCAUCCAGCUGGUGGGAAUGACCCCUCCCUGUCCCGUCAGAGGGUGCAGGUUGAGGUGCUGCUUGCGUGUGGGGUGACCUCCCCGCUCGGUGGGUCGAGGCUGCUCCCUGGGUUCCCCAAGAGAAGACGUUGGUGAUGUUCUGCUGCUGCCGGGCGGGCCCGCCUGUAGCUCAGGCGUUGGCGGGAGCCUCGUGCUCCGCGGGGCUUCUUGAAGAGGGUGAGGUGUGGGGGUACCGUCCUGUAGGCAGGGCUGUGUGUGCCCCCCGUGUGUGCUGUUUGUGUGUGGGGUGACCUCCCCGCUCGGUGGGUCGAGGUAGCUCCCUGGGCUUCCAAAGACGAGACGUUGGUGAUGUUCUGCUGCUGCCGGGCGGGCCAGCCUGUAGCUCAGGCGUUGGCGGGAGCCUCGUGCUCCGCGGGGCUUCUUGGAGAGGGUGAGGUGUGGGGUACCGUCCUGUAGGCAGGGCUGUGUGUGCCCCCCGUGUGUGCUUGGUGAGCUGCGUUCUGAGAGACCCCCUGUACUCAGGUGGGAAUGUGGCCCCGGCCUUUCAGAGGCGCGGGCCGUGAGAUGCGGGGUGGGGCUUGCGCCCUCCCUGGAAUCGGGGCUGGGAUCCCGACUGCGGCCUUUGGCCGUGCCGCCCCGCUGCCUGGCUGCUGAGAGUUGCUCCUGCCGCUGGGGGGGAAACCGAGCUCUGUGGCUCCAGGGGUGUUGUCCACCCGCCUGUAAUCAGGGUCUGGGUGCGCGAGCGUUUGUGCUCUGCUGGCAGCCUGUGUGGGGUGACCGCCCCGCUAGCGGGGUGUGGGUCGAGGUGCCCCGGACUGGGAGAGAAGGAGCCUCCCUCGGCCGUAGGGAUGGGGGCUGCCCUGUAAGUCAGGGAGCAUCUGUGUCCCGGAGUCCCAGGCCCUUUUCAAUGGCGGCAGUGGCCGGGGGUCCCCUGUAAGCAGGGAAGCUGACUCUUUGGCUGCUGCUUUUUGUGUGCCCAGCCCCAUUUGCCCAGUCUGCCCGCCUCUGUGAUCCCCCGCAGCACUGGCUGGAAGUCCGCCGCGUGUCAGUGAGGAGCUGCUGCAGAAGGAAGAAGAAGAAGCGGCGUGGGGACCUGGGAGGCAGGAGCAAGCAAGAAGAGGAAGCGGAAGCGUGCAGAUGCGGGGGGGAAGGAGAGAGGCUCCCUGGGCAAAGCACCUGUCCCGUUAGCAGGGGCACAGUCACGUUUGAGUUGAGAGCUGCCGGCGCCUUUGGUGACCAGGCUGGCGUUGUGCUGGGCGACCUCCCCGUAAGCGGGGCUCGGGUCUUUGCUGUAGUUGGCCUUUUGCCUUGCUGCUCCUAGGGCUGCCUGGGGAGCGUGGCCCCCUGUAACGGAGGGCGAGAGCCACCUCUCCGCACCUGAGUGGGAAAUGGAGCUCGCCGGACCCCAAGGCCACCCUGUAAGCAGGGUAGUGCCGUUUCCCUGCCCCUCUUCCUCCCCCGGCCCCUCGGCAUCAUUGCCUGAUGGUGGCUUGUCAAUGCGACGGCCCCGUACUCGGGGUGUGUGUCCCAAGCUUUGGAGCCCUCUGUCCCUGAGCAGCCUGCCUGCCCUGUAAUCAGGUGUGGGGAGGCUGCAGCGUUGCAGCCGGCUGCUUUAGCCAUCCAGCUGGUGGGAGUGACCCCUCCCUGUCCCGUCAGAGGGUGCAGGUUGAGGUGCUGUUUGUGUGUGGGGUGACCUCCCCGCUCGGUGGGUCGAGGUAGCUCCCUGGGCUUCCAAAGACGAGACGUUGGUGAUGUUCUGCUGCUGCCGGGCGGGCCAGCCUGUAGCUCAGGCGUUGGCGGGAGCCUCAUGCUCCGCGGGGCUUCUUGAAGAGGGUGAGGUGUGGGGGUACCGUCCUGUAGGCAGGGCUGUGUGUGCCCCCCGUGUGUGCUUGGUGAGCUGCGUUCUGAGAGACCCCCUGUACUCAGGUGGGAAUGUGGCCCCGGCCUUUCAGAGGCGCGGGGCCGUGAGAUGCGGGGUGGGGCUUGCGCCCUCCCUGGAAUCGGGGCUGGGUUCCCGACUGCGGCCUUUGGCCGUGCCGCCCCGCUGCCUGGCUGCUGAGAGUUGCUCCUGCCGCUGGGGGGGAAACCGAGCUCUGUGGCUCCAGGGGUGUUGUCCACCCGCCUGUAAUCAGGGUCUGGGUGCGCGAGCGUUUGUGCUCUGCUGGCAGCCUGUGUGGGGUGACCGCCCCGCUAGCGGGGUGUGGGUCGAGGUGCCCCGGACUGGGAGAGAAGGAGCCUCCCUCGGCCGUAGGGAUGGGGGCUGCCCUGUAAGUCAGGGAGCAUCUGUGUCCCGGAGUCCCAGGCCCUUUGCGUUGGAGGCAGUGGCUGGGGGCCCCCUCUAAGCAGGGAAUCUGUCUCUUUGGCCGCUGCUUUUUGUGUGCCCAGCCCCAUUUGCCCAGCCUGCCCGCCUCUGUGAUCCCCCGCGGCACCGGCUGGAAGUCCGCCGUGCAUCUUUGAGGAGCUGCUGCAGAAGGAAGAAGAAGCGGUGUGGGGACCUCGGCUGCAAAAUCAAGAUGGGGUAUCUGUUGACUGUUUUUCUUGUAAUUCUUUGCCUUUUGGAGCCACAGUUUUGAACGGUUGUGUAAGACUUUAUCACUCUUUUUGUCAGCGUCGUCAGCUGUGAAUAAAGUUUUUUUUCCAUGUUGUUUUUCCUGUUAUA
ensembl:lncRNA